CCCUACGGGGGGCAGCAGUGAGGAAUAUUGGUCAAUGGUCGGGAGACUGAACCAGCCAAGCCGCGUGAGGGAGGAAGGUACAGAGUAUCGUAAACCUCUUUUGUCAGGGAACAAAGGCGGGGACGUGUCCCCGGAUGAGUGUACCUGAAGAAAAAGCAUCGGCUAACUCCGUGCCAGCAGCCGCGGUAAUACGGAGGAUGCGAGCGUUAUCCGGAUUUAUUGGGUUUAAAGGGUGCGCAGGCGGUCUGUUAAGUCAGCGGUCAAAGCCCGGGGCUCAACCCCGGCCCGCCGUUGUAACUGGCAGG
rnacentral:rRNA from 1 species